ACAGUUGGCAGGAGUGGUAGCCGGGGACAAAUAAACAGGAGAAAAUAGUUUUACUUUGUGUAAUGACCCAUCCAAUCCUAGUCUUUAUUGAAGCCUAAUUUCAUGGUGUCCAGUUUGCAAAUUGCUUCCAAUUCAGCAUCUCUUGUGGGAGUCUGUUUCUGAAGGUUUUUUGUUGUGAUAUUGCGACUUUUAGGUGUGUCAAUGAGUGACCAGGGA